rnacentral:tRNA from 1 species
GGGGCAGUAGCUCAGCAGUAGAGCGCGCAAAAACCAUCCUCGGAAACUCCUUGCUCUAUAGAGCCGUGAUUCGAGGGUUAUCCCUUUGGCGGGCGAGGUCGCUGGUGCAAAUCCAGCCUGCUUCA